rnacentral:rRNA from 1 species
UACGAAGGGGGCUAGCGUUGUUCGGAAUCACUGGGCGUAAAGGGCGCGUAGGCGGCCGUUCAAGUCGGGGGUGAAAGCCUGUGGCUCAACCACAGAAUUGCCUUCGAUACUGGACGGCUCGAGACCGGAAGAGGUCAGUGGAACUGCGAGUGUAGAGGUGAAAUUCGUAGAUAUUCGCAAGAACACCAGUGGCGAAGGCGGCUGACUGGGCCAUUACUGACGCUGAGGCGCGAAAGCGUGGGGAGCAAACAGG